AUAAAAUACUUAAUCUUGUUCCCUCUUCUGUUAUAUUGGAUAACAAUAACACCUAUUUCUCAGAUUGCACUGUGGAUAUUAAAUAAGAUCCAUUUGGUGAUUCACCCCAGUACUUCUUGGGUGCCUACUCUGUGUAAAUACUGUUCUACAUACUCAGGAUCGCACAAUGAAGACAACUGUCAAAAUCUCCACAUUACUGAACCUCCAUUCUAAUCAGUGUGAUAAACAAAUAUGUCCAUUUUACAGUUGGGCAGUGCAGAGAACUAUGUAGAGAAACAAAAGCAGUGCGAAAGGCUAGAGUGUAACCAAAGGUACUAACUGGGGAUGGGAUGAUCAAGCAAGGCCUCUCUUUGGAGAUGAAUUUGAGAGGAGACCCAUUAAAGUGAUAGAACAAGUCAUGCACAGACAUGGAAGAAGAGAAUUCUAAACAGAAAACAGCAAGUGCAAAUUCCAUGAGAUGGCAACAUGCUUGGGAUCUUCAAGGAAUAAUGAGCAAGUUGUGGUGGCUUGUGUACAGUGGUCAAUGGGGGGAGUAGGGGGAAAUGAGAAAUAAGGGGAAAGGAAUGGAGCAGAUCAUAGAGACUCUGGCAGAAUGAGUGAUCAAAAUAUAGCUAUUGUUAACACAUUUCAUUCCUGUAUUUUUGAUGCAGGUUGGGAUUAGAUGCCGAUAAGUCCUCUUUCAAAAGAAGAAACUUGCUGAAUAGAUUAUGGUCCUGUCACUUUCCCCCAGUGCUAUCAAUACCAUAUUUGGGUGCUCAUUGACCCUGGGCUUUCAAUGGAAGGCAUGCUGCUUGAGCCCUGAAACAUAUUCAAUUUCAUUCAAAUUGGAUGCAGAUUUUUCCAGCAAAACUAAAUUCAAAAGACAUAUAUUUCGAAGGGUCCUAGAAGAAAGGAGUACCAUAAACGUUGACCACUUGGGUUUGUUAAGCUGCUGCUUUCCAAAGUAGGAAUAGAAAACUGAACUUCUAGUAAAGGCUGUUAUCUUUGUGAUACCAUAUUGCACUGGCAGUUAGUAACUCCGAGGCUUCACAAAGACCAUAAAGGAAAACUGUCCAAUCCUUUAAUAAAUCCUCUAAUACUCCACA
rnacentral:lncRNA from 1 species